CUGACACUGCCUUGGUUUGUAGUGUGAGUUGGUGCUGAUUGACAGACUUGGCUUCCAGUUAGAGGGGCAACAGUUCAAAGGAGGCCCAGGACAAGAGUGAUGACUUACCCAUUGAAAGGGGCUUAUUGAGAAGAAAUGAUUUGAGCCACUGGUCUCUCCUCCACUUUGGAUAAUAUGGUGGUGAAUAACAGGCUGGUAGGUUCCAGAGUGUUCCAGAGAUGCAUCUUUCAUUCCCGGAGACUCCACGACAAUCUUGGAGGGUUGGCAAACCCACCCCAUUGACGCUGUUUGACCUGCUGCGCAUUCCCAGCAUUUUCUGUUUUUGUUUCAGAGUUCAAUGAUUCUUGAACAUUUUGGAAAAUUGGGAGUGAAAUGUCAAGGUCAAAUAUAAACAUUUGCAAUGUAAACAAGACUGAUGGACCCACAUAACAACCCAAUGCAUCGAUCUGUUGAACUGAACCUUUAAAUGAAAGUGGGGAAACCUAAA